rnacentral:misc_RNA from 1 species
GAUGAAGAACGCAGCAAAAUGCGAUAAGUAAUGUGAAUUGCAGAAUUCAGUGAAUCAUCGAAUCUUUGAACGCACAUUGCGCCCGCCAGUAUUCUGGCGGGCAUGCCUGUUCGAGCGUCAUUUCAACCCUCAAGCACAGCUUGGUGUUGGGACUCGCGUUAAUUCGCGUUCCUCAAAUUGAUUGGCGGUCACGUCGAGCUUCCAUAGCGUAGUAGUAAAACCCUCGUUACUGGUAAUCGUCGCGGCCACGCCGUUAAACCCCAACUUCUGAAUGUUGACCUCGGAUCAGGUAGGAAUACCCGCUGAACUUAAGCAUAUCAAUAGCGGAGA